rnacentral:tRNA from 1 species
AUAGAUGUAGCUCAGUUGGUAGAGUGCUUGCCUAUCAUGCACAAAGCCAUGAGUUCAAUUCCUAUCACUGUA